ensembl:lncRNA
CUGCUGACCCCGCGUGACUUUUGUAUAACAUCUCAGUGUAUAAAAACAGACUCUGGAAAAUAAAGAAUUGGGAUCAGUUCCUCGAAAGACUGGUCUCCCCAUGUCUCUCUCUCUCUCACUCUGGCUGAGUCUCCAUCUGGAGCGCGGAACCCACCAUGCUUACUAAUUAUGCCUGGGCUUCUAAGAUCCGACCGGGGAGGCCUCAGUGUCUCCUCUCCUUCGGGAGAAUGGAAGGACGCCUGCAGCCUACGCAAAAAGUUUGGCAAAUACCAGGUGAAAUUAAAAUCCAGUCACCAACCACUCAGACAUUCAUCUUUCUCAUUUUAAAAAUGGAGUAACACUUUAUAUCAUGAGUGGAACUCCUCUUAUUCUGGAGGUCCCAGUGGUCUACAGAACACACUUUUGGAAAUGCUACUGAAUAGGCUUGGUGGACGUGAACUGGCUUCUCUGCUAGAAAAGAAGUGUCUCAGGGACUGUAUCCCUAAUAAUCUCCCACUGUCCUUGUGAGUCUGAGACCUGGCACUCUGUGCUACAGUGCAGCAAAGCUUCCACCUGGACACACCUCUCCUGGAGAUACAAAAUACAGAGAAAUUACACAGGACUGAAAAUAACUCUGUGCGUAUGCACUUGGGGCAAAUUCUGGACCAAAAGAUACAAAAAGACAAAAAAGAAAAAAGUCCCUGACAUCCAUCCCUGAAGAGCCACGAGCCAUGGGUGUCAGGAGCAAAAGCAUGUACUCAAUACCACAGAGUGGGGGCGGGCAGACACCUAAGCCAUCCCUCCAGCCUGACCUCUGGGCAUACCCCCGCUCUUUCCUCGAAUAAGGAAUGAGCUCACAGCCUCUCCAGAAGCAAGCAAGGGGGUUCCUUGUUUUCAUUUUUUCCUGCAGCUGGCAGAAGAACCCUAAUAGAGCCUUGCCUGAAUUUCUUGUCUGGUCUCUAGUCAAUUUCUAUUGACUGGGGAGGGCCAAGAACCCUGGUUAGUAUCACUUUGAUAUUGAUCUGGAGUUUAAGUAGGGUAUGACUCUUUAUGGGAGCUAAAUGUGCCUCGUGUACCUAAGUAAUUAUAUUAUCAUCAAAGCAUUUUGACAAUGUCACAGCUAAAAAAUCUUUCAUAGACACCAAAAUCUGAAUAACCUAAAUUUCCCAGUGUACAAAAUGCCUGACUAUAUUGAGUUUUCUGGCUAAUUCAGGUUACUUUAGGUGUUAGAAAAAAGCAGAUGGUGGGGAGCCUUCCCUCAUAACUCAGCUGGUAAAGAAUCCACCUGCAGGACAGGAAAACCAUCCACUGAAGAAGGGAUAGGCUAGCCACUCCAGUAUUAUUGGGCUUCCCUGGUGGCUCAGCUGGUAAAGAAUCCACCUGCAAUGCAGGGGACCUGGGUUCGAUCCUUGGGUUGGGAAGAUCCCCUGGAGAAGGGACAGGCUACCCACUCCAGUACUCUGGCCUGGAGAAUUCCAUGAACUGUAAAGUCCAUGGGGGUCACAAAGAGUCAGACACAACUAAGCAACUUUCACUUUACUUUAUUCAGUGAUAAUUAUGCAGUCUUACAAAAGUAGAGAGUUCUGGAGGUUUAUUUUGACUCUUUCCUGAUGCCUGACUGAGCCUAGAAAGUUUUUUUAAAAACCAACAAAAGCUUGUUUUCUGGACAUUUGUGUUGCAUUAUUUCAUUCUUUUUAUGGCUAAUAUUCCAUUGCGUAUAUGCAUCACAUCUUCUUUAUCCAUCCCUCUGCCAAAGGACAUUUAGGUUGCUUCCCUGUCUUGGAGAAGGCAAUGGCACCCCACUCCAGUACUUUAAUGUUAACAGUGCUACAAUGAACACUGAGGUGCAUGUAUCCUUUUGGAUCACGUUUUUUUUCUCCAGAAUAUGUCCAGAAGUGGGAUUGUGGGAUCAUACUGUAGUUCUAUUGUCAGUUUUUAAAGGAAACUACACUGUUCUCCAUAAUGGUUGUACCAAUUUACAUUGGUAAAUGUAAAACCAAUAAAAGUGGUUUUGUUGGUUUUAAUAAACCUCCAACCAACAGUGUAGGAGGUUUCCCUUCUCUUCACAUGCUUUCCAGCAUUUAUUGUUUGUGGAUUUUUUUUUAUGAUAGUCAUUUUUACUGGUGUGAGAUGAUAUCUCGUAUUUUUGAUUUGCAUUUCUCUAAUAAUUAGUGAUGUUGAACAUUUGCUCAUGUGUUUCUUGGACAUCUGUGUGUCUUCUCUGGAAAAUGUCUAUUUAGGUCUUCUGUUUUUUUUUGAUUGAAUUGUUUGCUUUGAUGAUAUUGAGCUGCAGGGGCUGUUUGUAAAUUUUGGAGACUGAUCCCUUGAGGGUCACAUCAUUUUCAAAUAUUUUCUCUUAAUCGGAGAGUUGUCUUUUCAUUUUGUUUAUAGUUUCCUUUGCUAUGCAAAAGGUUUUUAAUUUAAUUAAGUUCCAUUUGUUUAUUUUUGUUUUUAUUUCCAUUACUCUAGGAGACAGAUUGAAAAAGAAAAUAUUCCUGCAAUUUUUGUCGGAGAGUGUGUGGCCCAUAUUUUCCUCUGAGAGUUGUAUAGUGUCAGGUCUAACAUUUAGGUCUAAUCCAUUUUGAGCUUAUUUUUGUGCAUGGAAUUAAAAAUAUUCAAAUUUCAUUUUUUUAAAUGUAGCUGUCCUGUUCUCCCAGCACCAUGUAUUGAAGACAUGGUCUCCUCACGGGUGUAUAGACAGUCCUUGGACAGAAGGCUGCCCUCACCCUCUCCCCCUCCACCCCAAGCCCCGGGCCACACACAAUUGGACCAGGGUAGACAGCUAGUUGGGGCAAUCUGAGCAAGGGUCAGAAAAGAAUUUCCAGAUAUGGAGCAUUUCAGAAGGGAGUGAGUUUAUUAAGAACAAAGAGCAGAAAUAAUGUGGGCACUGCCAGUGCAGUGGGCUGACCUCCUGACAAUGGAGCAGCGACAGUUUUCUUGGGUUAGUAGCCAAUUUUUAUAGCCUCAAGACAAAGAAAAUUUCUGAUAGAAGGUUGGCGUUAGGUGAUUGGUUGGGCCAUUAUAGGGUGUUUACUGGAGUGGGCAUCUUUGCCUAACUGGGAGUCAGGAGGCUUGUUAGUGAUGAUCACAGGGGGGUUUUGGCAACGGUUGCAAAGGGGCUCAGUCAGCUUCAGAGGUGGCCUUGGUUCGGGCUCCACAGCUGUGGCCUCUGUGUAAGGCUGCACACCUGUGGCCUGGAGGCAGGGCUCAACACAGCUCACGCGAGCCUGUCCAAUCAGAAUGUGAAAACGGAAACUAGAACUUUGAGUCAGUUGGACAAUGAUGAGCAGCUGCUCUUAAAAGUAGUAUUGGGGGAGGAGGGAAAGGAAGGAAAGGGGUUGGUCAUAGGCUAGAGUGCUCAUAUUUUGAAGACACUUUCAGAUUGUAACUGUUACACUGUUGCAAUUUAUUCAAGACUGCUCCCAUACAUAAUGGACAAAUUAAGUCCUUAUUUGAAACAUCUAUUCCAUCUAGAUAUUUAGAAGUGCCAGAUGCAUGUUAAAUGGGUGUGUGUGUGUUAAUCACUCAGUCAUGUCUGACUCUUUGUGACCUCAUGGACUGUAGCCUGCCAGGCUCCUCUGUCCAUGGAAUUCUCCAGACAAGAAUACUGGAAUGGGUUGCCAUUCUCCAGGGGAUCUUCCUAACACAGGGAUUGAACCUGUGUCUCCUGCGUUGCAGGCAAUUCUUUACUGUCUGAGCCACUAGGGAAGCCCCAGUGUUACGUAGAGGUAGUAAAAUAUCACUUUGUAAUUAUCUUUUUGCUCGGAUUCAUAGGAAGCACUGUCUCUGGGAAAGUUAAAUGUCAGACCUCCUCUGUGAGCGGUGUACUCUUGCCUACACUUGUUCAGUGGUUUGGAGGAAGUGGGAAGAAUUGCAAAACGUCAUAUGGACAUACCUGGACAGUUUCAAACAAAACCAUUUUUUUAUGUUAUGUGCAUUUUGUUUUGCUAAGUAUAUAGUAUGUAUAAUGGACAAAUGAGUCCUAAUUUUGCAACAUCUAGUCUCUAGAUGUUAAAGAGGUUGCCACUGUAUGACAAAGUAGGUAGUAAAAUUAGCAGAUUUUGUACACUUAGUGUUGAAAUUCACAGGAAAGCUUGUCUUCUGUAAAUGACUUUUGGAUAUGAAUUUGUUCAACCACCUCUAAGCAAUACACAUGCCUGAACUUGUCCACUGGAUUGGUGGUGGGGAGAAGGAAGUGAGAGAAGGAAUGGUCGUAUUUAGAAGAUACCUCAGAUUAUAACCUUUGUUACAUGUGUGCGAUUUUAUUUAAUAAAAUGUGUACAUAGCGUACAAGUGGAUAUAGUGGACAAAUAAGCUAUUAUAUGAAAUAUCUGGUCUCUCUAGAUAUUUAGAAGUGCUUGACGCAUUUAAAAAUGCUGUUAAAUAACUUCUUAUAAAAAGCUGUUAAAAACUGAUGGGAAAUACUGUCUUUGGAAAUGGAAUUGUUAAACCUCUGCUCUGAACAGUAUACUCUGUGUUUUUUUGCUGGGUUGAGGGAGGUGGGACGGAAGAUUGCAAAAGAUACUUUGCUAGUGGGUACUAGAUUUCAGCUUACCAUUGCUCUAUAUGUUAAAUGCAUUUCAUUUAACUUUACUGUAUACACUAGGUAUACACUGGACAAAUGGGUCCCAAUUUAAAAAUAUCUAGUUUCUAGAUUGAGGUUGCCAAGGUGUGACAAAAGUAAGGUUAGUAAUCUAACACAUUUUGUACACUUUGUGUUAAAAUUCACUGAAAGGCCAUCUUCUGAAAAGGAC